rnacentral:lncRNA from 1 species
AUAAAAGGUCUUUUUUUUCUCUCUCCUCACCGUUCAGACUCCCAAACUCUCUCGAUCUCACUUCUCUCUGCUCUCGCUCUUGCUCUCCUGAUCUCACUUCUCACGAACUUCAGACUCUCUCCUGGGUCAGAUUCUCUCGCUUCUCACCCCCUGCUCGCGUGGUCGCCCCAAAUCUCAAAGCCCUAAUUUUGGCCCCAAAGCCGUCGCGCCCCAAAUCAGAAAGCCCUAAUUUUUACCUCUCAAUUCCGUCGCGACAGAUUUGUCUUCUAUCUCUCUAUCAAUUAUCGAUCCUAACUGUAUUACAUAGAUCGAUUUAUUCAUGUUAUAUUCUAUAUGUCUGUUGUUUUCUUAAUUUUGUGUUUAAUUGAUAUUGCUUCGAAAAUGGGAGUCUCUAAUUCACUAUCAUUCUUUGUAAUUUUGUUAGUGUGUUAGGGUUCAAAAAACGAAUCACAUAAUAAGUUCAGACUUCAGCUGUCUAAUAAGUUGAGACUGUCCAUAAAUAUGGUGCACUAAUUUUUUUACACAGCCGUCUAAUAAGUUCAGACUUCAGACAUUACACUUACAAGGCAUUCCAAGAUUAAGAAAAUUGAUAUUUUUACAUAAUUUUCGAUUACAUAUUUACAUAAAGUUAUGUGAAGGGAUGAUACGAAAAUAUCAAAACCUUAUAUAAAAAUGAUGUUCCCCUAAUUAAUUCCUCAUUCUGCUCGAAACACUCUAUUUAACAUCCCAUCCUCAGUUGCAUAAAUAAUUUAUCAUUCACUAGUUAUGCAAUAAGAUGUGCAUAAUACAUACAUACAUAUAUAUAUAUAUAUAUAUAUAUAUAUAUAUAUAUAUAUAUAUAUAUGACUUUGUUGGAUCGAGUGACAUAGACCACAAGUGAAGUACUCAAACAACAAAAAAUUGUCAUCCCAAGACAUAAAAAGUGACAUUUUGGGUUCAACAUUUUCGAAAAAAUAAAAUUCGUAAAUUGUAUUUUUAAAUUUUAUUGUUUUUAGACCAUCUCAAACAAUAGUAACAAAAAAAAAAUCUUUAAAUUGAAGUUUAUUAUCCUACGUACGUUGUACGUUGUAAAUUGAAGAUUAUUAUUCACUUUCAUAUUUUAUACAUCAUCAGUCUUUUCAAUUCAAUGAGUUGCACAUCAAAUAAAAUAAAUGUGUUUAAAAAGAGAAAAUGAGAUUGCAUAUUUGAAAAGAGAAUGAGGUUGUAAAUUUGAUAACUAAGAUUGAAGGUUGUAUUCCAAAGUGAUUGAAGAAGCUUUGGAGAUGUUUUUAAAUAGGUGAGUCACAUUAGAAAAAUUCUUUCCAACAGCCUCUUCAAACUGUCAGCGUACGUCGACAAAUAUUAUUAUCACUCUUCAAAUUUGCAAUCUCCUUCUCACUCUUCAAAUCUACAAUUAAAGUCUAAAAAUAUUUAUUACGCUUGAUGGGUUUGAUGUAUAGUUCACUGAUGAGACACAAAAUAUAAAAAUAGCAAAUAAUGUUAUUCAAAUUGCCACGUAGGCCAACAAAAAAUAAUUUAAAAAAUUAAUUUUGCUAUUACUCUUGAAGAUGUUCUACAAAUAACAAAUAAAGAUUAAAUAAAGUAACAAAGCAUUUUUAAACCUCUUUCCAAUAAUUAACAACCCGCUAAAUUUGUAACGCUAUUUAUUGAACUCGUUUAAAUAGCACAACAUCGUCAAAUUAUUUUGCUAUAAAAUUAAUUGAUUUAGUGGGUCUAUAAAAGGUCUUUUUUUUCUCUCUCCUCACCGUUCAGACUCCCAAACUCUCUCGAUCUCACUUCUCUCUGCUCUCGCUCUUGCUCUCCUGAUCUCACUUCUCACGAACUUCAGACUCUCUCCUGGGUCAGAUUCUCUCGCUUCUCACCCCCUGCUCGCGUGGUCGCCCCAAAUCUCAAAGCCCUAAUUUUGGCCCCAAAGCCGUCGCGCCCCAAAUCAGAAAGCCCUAAUUUUUACCUCUCAAUUCCGUCGCGACAGAUUUGUCUUCUAUCUCUCUAUCAAUUAUCGAUCCUAACUGUAUUACAUAGAUCGAUUUAUUCAUGUUAUAUUCUAUAUGUCUGUUGUUUUCUUAAUUUUGUGUUUAAUUGAUAUUGCUUCGAAAAUGGGAGUCUCUAAUUCACUAUCAUUCUUUGUAAUUUUGUUAGUGUGUUAGGGUUCAAAAAACGAAUCACAUAAUAAGUUCAGACUUCAGCUGUCUAAUAAGUUGAGACUGUCCAUAAAUAUGGUGCACUAAUUUUUUUACACAGCCGUCUAAUAAGUUCAGACUUCAGACAUUACACUUACAAGGCAUUCCAAGAUUAAGAAAAUUGAUAUUUUUACAUAAUUUUCGAUUACAUAUUUACAUAAAGUUAUGUGAAGGGAUGAUACGAAAAUAUCAAAACCUUAUAUAAAAAUGAUGUUCCCCUAAUUAAUUCCUCAUUCUGCUCGAAACACUCUAUUUAACAUCCCAUCCUCAGUUGCAUAAAUAAUUUAUCAUUCACU